CGCUGGCGGCAUGCCUUACACAUGCAAGUCGAACGGCAGCGCGGGGCAACCUGGCGGCGAGUGGCGAACGGGUGAGUAAUAUAUCGGAACGUACCCAAGAGUGGGGGAUAACGUAGCGAAAGUUACGCUAAUACCGCAUACGAUCUAAGGAUGAAAGCAGGGGACCGCAAGGCCUUGUGCUCCUGGAGCGGCCGAUAUCUGAUUAGCUAGUUGGUAGGGUAAAAGCCUACCAAGGCAUCGAUCAGUAGCUGGUCUGAGAGGACGACCAGCCACACUGGAACUGAGACACGGUCCAGACUCCUACGGGAGGCAGCAGUGGGGAAUUUUGGACAAUGGGCGCAAGCCUGAUCCAGCAAUGCCGCGUGAGUGAAGAAGGCCUUCGGGUUGUAAAGCUCUUUUGUCAGGGAAGAAAAGGUUGCGAAUAAUACUCGCAGCUCAUGACGGUACCUGAAGAAUAAGCACCGGCU
rnacentral:rRNA from 1 species